CCCAGAGUUCUCUAGGGACAGUUCUAUAGCUUUCAAGGAGCUCUGAGCUCUGUUACUCAAGGACAUGAGGAUCAUGCUAAUCUGCCUAAGGCCUUCAGUGGACAUGGAUUGCAGACAUAUCACAGGAGGAGGUACUUUUGACCUUUCAUGGAGAGCCCAGAGCACCCUAUCUUCACAAAGACAUUAACAACUGAAUUGCCUAACAAGCACCAAUCUCCUCAGAAAGCACUGUCAUAACUGUCCUCUAAAGGCAUGGAGGAAGGAGCCAUCUCAUGUUGCCACUGAAAUGAGUUUCUUGACUUCAGCAGGCAUGCCCAUACCACUGGACUACCAAGGUACAUAGCUGAAGGUGAUGACUUGGAGACUGUCUAGCGAUUGCUGUGCAUUAAUGGGGUGACAGUCAGAGGAAGACGCCUGGGGCAGGAGAGCUUCAGUGUCAGCUGAUUGCUGAGUCAUGGUGGCUUUGCUCCCAAGUGGCAACAGAGAAUAAAAGAACUUUUCAGACUCUCAUCAGGAGAAGUUAAUAACUUUGCUGAAGAAAAGAAGAGCCAAAGGAAGACAGAAUACAGACUUUGGCAAUGUAUGGCUGAUUUUAAGAGACCUUCGGGAUAUCUUGUGAAGAGGAGAUACUAUUUCUAUCCCACAUUGUAUAGUUUCAGUUUUAUGUACAGCACAAGGCAACUGCACAAUGUCAAUCCUUUUUAUUAUGUUUUAUUAAUUAUGUUAAUACUUACAACAUAUUUAAAGAUAAAAAACAAAGGAAUGUAACUGGACCAGAAGUAGCUUAGCUUUUACUUCUGGUCAGAACGUCAGGAAUAAGGAAAAUGAAUGAAAUUAUAAAAAUAUAUGGAAAACAUUGGUAUCAGGUAAACAGAAUGACUUCUUGUUGUUGAAAUAUGUUUAAAGAUACAGGGUCCCUUCCUAUUCCCAUACUCCUUUCUUUCACAAGGUAAAUUGUCAAUUUUUCAUAAGAGGUAGAUCCUCAGGAGACAGAUAAAUAGACCAAUGCUAGAUAAGAGCAAAAAAAAUUUCAGCUUUUCUAAGAACUAAUACUUGAGUUGAAUAGUUUAUUCAGAAAUGCAGUUGCAUUGAAUCAUAAUCUGACAAAAUUAUGGUAAUAGUUAAUCUGAAUACAAAAUGGCCCUAUGUUGU